CCUUCUCAUUCACUCUCUGUUAGUCUUCUUAUCAUGGCUGCGGGCGUGGGCGUCUUCAAGCUUCUUGUGGUUGCGGCAGUUCUCAUGUUCACAUUUGUUGCUAGCAUUGAGUCUGCGCGUGUCUUUGGAGGGGACUUUAUUCAACUAGUUCAAGGUGGUAGCAAUCCAAGUUUGAAGUGCCAAGACACAGGAGAUCCUUGCACGCAGAAUAAGGAUUGCUGCAAAGGAGGGUGUCUGUAUCAAGUUGGAAUUUGUGUUGGCUGGUAGGUGCCAAAAUGACAUUGUGCCAUAAGGUUUCCUCUUGCUUGCAUCCUGGUCACAAUGUCACAACUUCUAGAAGAGGGUUUCUUCCAGUUGUGCAGAUCUACAGAUUGACACAAGCUAUUGGAACAAUAGCACUGAAUAAUGAUUGAAAGAAGAAUUUCAGUGCUCCCCAAUUCUUGAAGGUCCCCAUUUUUCUUCCAAUUCUGUUGUUUGAGGACAGUCUUAUGACCUUAUACUCUUUCUUUUUUUUUUUGGUUUUUUCUUCUCCUUAGUCACUUCUUGGCUUGCGAUCAUCUAGGAGCACAAGUUUGUAAGCAAGCUUGUAAAUCUCAUUGGUGUUGUUAUGCGGACAUGGCAAUAGUUUUUAUGUAUAUGUACCUAGAGUUGAGACAUACACUCCUUGUAUGCUGAUCUCUCCACUACUUUUAUCUUAUCAGAACAAUUAGCUCCUUGAUCUUGGGCAUGGGAUUUGUUAAUCAAGAGGCCAAUGACAAAGAGGAUGAGUUUUUUAUUACAAUCCCUCUUGGGAUGUUUGAUGAGGUGUUGGAUGUGUUAGAGGUUUGAAGUAUCACAAACUUGAUUAUAGGUAUUAAAAAUUAUGUCUUUCUACUGCUAAAAAGUCAAUAUUGUUAGACCCUUUGCCAAAUUAACAUAAACCAAAAGGGCACUAAAGAAG
rnacentral:lncRNA from 1 species